ACUCAAUAGAUACCCCGGUAGUCCACGCCCUAAACGAUGUCUACUAGUUGUCGGGUCUUAAUUGACUGGUAAACGCAGCUAAACGCGUGAAGUAGACCGCCUGGGGAGUACGGUCGCAAGAUUAAAACUCAAAGGAAUUGACGGGGACCCGCACAAGCGGUGGAUGAUGUGGAUUAAUUCGAUGCAACGCGAAAAACCUUACCUACCCUUGACAUGGAUGGAAUCCCUGAGAGAUUGGGGAGUGCCCGAAAGGGAACCAUUACACAGGUGCUGCAUGGCUGUCGUCAGCUCAUGUCGUGAGAUGUUGGGUUAAGUCCCGCAACGAGCGCAACCCUUGUCAUUAGUUGCUACGAAAGGGCACUCUAAUGAGACUGCCGGUGACAAACCGGAGGAAGGUGGGGAUGACGUCAAGUCCUCAUGGCCCUUAUGGGUAGGGCUU
rnacentral:rRNA from 1 species